CUUCCGGGAGCAGAAGUUCCGGCUGAAGCGCUGUGGUCUGGAGCGCCGGGUAUACCUGGUGGAAGAGCAUGGCUCGGUCCAGAACCUCAGCCUUCCUGAGAGCACACUGCUGCAGGCUGUCACCAACACUCAGGUCAUUGAUGGCUUUUUUGUGAAGCGCACAGCAGACAUUAAGGAGUCAGCCGCCUACCUGGCCCUCUUGACUCGGGGCCUGCAGAGACUCUACCAGUGACUUCAACGCAGGAGCCAUCAAGAAUAAGGUACUGUCUCUGCCCAGCUUCUGAGACGUGGCCUGGCCCAGACCCCCACUGAUCCAGCCCUUCCCCGAACCCAGGCCCAGUCGGUGCGAGAAGUGUUUGCCCGGCAGCUGAUGCAGGUGCGCGGAGUGAGUGGGGAGAAGGCAGCAGCCCUGGUGGAUCGAUACAGCACCCCCGCCAGGUAGACCCUAAAGGGCCCUUAGGUGUCCUCAGCCCCUGCCCUCCGUGCAUGGAAUUCACCUUAAUCCAUGCUUCGUGGAGGGGGCCUGGCCUUGUGUGGGCUCUGCAGACCAGAGAUAGACAGAUCCCCGGGUGCUCGUGGAGGUCAGGUGGGGAGGAAGCCAGCAGGCCCACACAGUGUCCCAGGCAGUGGAGGCCACAGGAGGGAGGGAGACAUCCCACCUGGUGGAGCAGAGGCUUCCUGGAGAAGGGGGUUGGGCCAUUAAGGGGAGUGAGGGUGAUGGUUUUGCCCCAGAGUUCCCACAG
rnacentral:sRNA from 1 species